GAGCUCGCGACAAGCCGCCUCCGAUCGGCAAUCGGGGAGUGCGGCAUCCAGAGCAGGGCCGCCGCCACUACCACCACCACUCUCCUUCCUCCAGGCUCAGCACAUGCGCCGCGAGUGGCGGGACACAUCAGUUAAUGCACGGGCUUUUUUGUUAUUUGUUGACUGCCAGCUUUCACCCGCUGCUGCAGCUGACUUUUGAGCAUGCUGAUGAUUCCAACGGAAACAAAGACAGCCGUCACGCACGCGCGGCGUGUGCAUGUCUCAUAUAUGUGCGCGCGCGGAGGAACUCUUGCAACGCGUCAAGCACCAGCGGAAAACACGCAAGCUUUUGGUUUCUGGGUAACAUCCCAGCGCUGUUCCCCACCCCAACACAGAGGCUGUCCACAAAGCCAGACAAAAAGGUCAUUGAUAUUCAUAAAGGGGUGUGGUGAGACUGAAAAACAAGAGUUCGCCAAACUUUCCAAUAUAUUUAAUAUAAAUGCAAGCAAGGAUUUGUAACGCGACUAUAAGAAGAUUUGUAUGAGCAAGUAAAAUAGGAGUUCGUUUGGUCAUUAACUCAAUAAAAUGUAAACAUCGAAGGAAAAUCUAUCCACAGUAGCAUGACGAACUGCAGGUCGUAUUAAUAAGCAUCUUGUAAUCGGCACCAUCGGCACCUGAAUAAGAAACAUACAUUUAUCAGCCGGCAAAUGGUACGACUGUCGACCGCAAGUUAUGGUUGUAACAAGCGAAGCUGACAAAGACGGCACAUUCAAUGAAAACAGCAUUUCCCCGGACGUAAAUGUGUUCCCAAGCGAUUAAUCACACUAUAAUGACUGGAAUUAUUGCAUGCAUCAGCCUUAUGAAAUAUUUGUCGGGACUGUGUGAUGAAGGAGAUGCGAUCAUUCCUUGAAACCCGAGGGGAAGGUUUCUUUCUGUCCAUCGAAAACGCAUUUAAAAGCAUUUUGUUUUGCCUUAACAAGUUGCACAUGCCAGAAUGUUAAUUGAAUGUCAGAUAUUAAAUGUUACAACUGGCUGUAAUGUGUGUCCGACAGAUGAGUAUGCGGGAGAGAAUCGGAACUUGUAACCAACCUACAGUCAAGAUCUGCAGCUGAACCACUGAUAAAAGCAAUGAACAACUCAUAGAUGGUGAGAAGGCCAACCAAAUAUUGUAAAAGUAUGUCCGAAUAGCUAAACCCGAUGAUACAAAAAGGUGCAGGAGCGCCACACGAAAUUGAGUGUGCAAACUUCAGCCCGGAGCACACUUCUAAGGAAACUAAGUUGCUGUCUGACCUGCUGAGUUUUUCCAGCAUUUUCUGUUUUUAUGUAAGGAGAGAAUCUUGCUUGGCUGUGAUGAUCAGAUUGCCAGUUGACAAACAAUAUCUGGACUCACGCAUCAAAAGUGGCCAUGAGAGAAACAUACCAGAGGACAUGGUUCCUGCACAUCUGUAGACUAUCAAGGAAUCAAUCUUGUCAGGAAAGGCAAAAGCGGUGAAAUAAAAUUGAAGAGAAAAUGGCCCUGGGUCGUAACUUCUCUAAAUUGAUCGUGCAAUCUAAAGUAUGCCUGGUGCUGCUGGCCACUUAGUGAAAUAUCCAGGAGAUUAAUCUUUAAUUGUUGAAUGCUUCAGAAUAUCCCUGGGAAAUGUAGGCCUUGCUGUGUGUAAAUUGGCUGCUAUCUCAACCUACACUAUUAUAGUUACUAAGCUUUGUUGGCUGUGAAGUACUGUGGAUUGUCCUAAGAUUAUAAAAAGCACUUAACAAUGCAAGUACUUCUAUUCUUUUAACCAGAAAUAACUUUUGUAAA